UACAUACUCCCUCCGUCCCAAAAUUCUUGUCUUACAUUUGUCUAGAUACGGAUGUAUCUAAUACUAAAAUGUGACUUGAUACAUUCGUAUUUAGACAAAUAUAAGACAAGAAUUUUGGGACGGAGGGGUACUUA
rnacentral:pre_miRNA from 1 species